rnacentral:tRNA from 1 species
UAGAAUAUAGUGUAAGUUUGGUAGCACGAAGAUCUUUGAAU